rnacentral:rRNA from 1 species
GGCGCAGGCGGGAAGGACAGUCAGACGUGAAAGCCCGGGGCUCAACCUCGGAAUUGCAUUUGAUACUUCCUUUCUUGAGGAUAGGCGGAGAAAACAGAAUUCCACAAGUAGCGGUGAAAUGCGUAGAUAUGUGGAAGAAUACCGGUGGCGAAGGCGGUUUUCUAGCUUAUUCCUGACGCUGAGGCCCGAAAGCUAGGGGAGCGAACAGGAUUAGAUACCCUGGUAGUCC